GCACUGACUGCUCUUGCAGAGGACCUGGAUUCAAUUCCCAGCAACCACAUGGUGGCUCACAACCAUCUGUAAUGGGAUGUUCUGGUGUGCACUCAUACACACAAAAUAAAUAAAUCUAAAAAAAAAUAAAAAUAAAAAGUGGCCCAGCAUCCCUGUGACUUCAACAUUUGGGAGCCCGACACAUGCCUUGAGUCAUGAUUGUAGUCUCAGUCCUAGUGAGAGGCUGCAGCAGGAGGAUUGCUACAAGUUCCACGCCAGUUUGAGUUAUAUGCCAAGGUACUGUCUCAAACAAAGGAACAAAGACCAGUGAGAGGCUCAGGGAGCCAGGGUGCUUGCUGUCAAGCCUGGAACCCCAUGGACGGGGAGCAGCAUCCUUCCCACGGGCUGUCCUUGUCUCCACACACAAGUGCUAAAAGUUUUAAAAGAAAUUUCCAGAAUAAACAAAUCAAGGGACAUAGUAGAGUAGUUAAUUGCCCAGCCUGAGCAAGGUCCUAAAGAACAAGGGGAAGGGGAAAAGUGGGGUUUUGGUUCACAAGGUAUAAGGCUCAGAAGCCAGCAAAUCCCAACAAUGGACUAUGCCGAUGGUGAGUACGUGUGCUCAGGGCUGUACUGUGGAGUAGGUCAAUGUUCACGUCCGUGAGGCUGCAUCAGUCUCACUGCGGUCUAUGUAUGUGUAUAGUACUGUAAUGACAUACGUGGUUUCUAUUAUUAACUGUAGUCCUAAGUGUGAUCAUUGCUAUUCUGAGUGUGGGUAUGUCUUCCGCUAACAACAAAAUGCCAACAAUCGAUUUCUCUACCCCAGAGCAGCCUCCGGGUGACACUCGGAGAAAAGUAAGUGGCUUUCUGGGCUCUGGCUGUGGCUGCUGCAUGCCUGUGAGAGAUGCCUGUGCUCUGCCGGCCCGCGUGCUAUGCUUCUGCUCUUCUGUUCUCGCAGCUUGAAUUGAAGUACAAUGUUGUUUUUUGUUUUUUUUUUUUUCCUUAUUUUACUUGUGAUGCUUCAGGUUUCACCCUGGAAAAAGUUUAUUGUGUAUUUUAAAGAGCAGAAAAGUCUCAUCUGGGGACUAAAGUCUUCACCCCUUCCCCACCCCGCCCUUGCACUUUAAGUUCAUCAGUUUGAAUUUUCAGUCUCAGUGGCACUUCCUCAUCAGUAGACAUCAGCAGCAAGUUUCAGUCCCUGCAGAAAACACAAAUCUCUCUCUGGCUCAUUAGGCAGGACCUCAGGUCUCCUAGUGU
rnacentral:lncRNA from 1 species